rnacentral:piRNA from 1 species
UGAUCUUCAUGGUGCUGGAUGCCAGC